AUGUAUAACAUUAAACCCCAUCCCGUUACGUAUCAGAGCGACCUAGACGACACAGUGAAGGCAAGGCCACUCACGACGGCAACUGCACACUAAGCACGAUCACCUGCAACGAACAACUCCGGAUACAACUCCCACAUCUUACUCUCCAGCUCCCAAGUCAAACUUUCACUAGUCGCUCCACCCCAAACGACUCUCACAAGAGGUAUCUCUUUACCUCUCAAGGACUUCACCUUUCUGUCAUCAAUCCUCAAUGGCAUAGUCUCAACUGUCAGGUUGUCUCUAACCUGUACAUCAUCAUCCCU
rnacentral:lncRNA from 1 species